CUCAUAACCCAAAUCCAUAUUAUAAUCAAAAAUUUUUAAAUUCUCCUUUUAUUCCAAUUCCACAAAAUAAUCUACCCUUUGGAAAUUACCCAUAUCAUACUUCACCUUACCAACAUCAAUCUCAAUAAUUUUCAUCUCAAUCAACUAACCCCACUAUGUCUCAUGAGGUUCAUAUUGGUAAUGGUGGUGUGCAAUCAAAUGAUCAAGAGACUUCAACACCAAAAUCUUGCACUCAAGGUGGCUUGGAAACUAUAAAUCUUGAUGAAGAAAUUGGAUUUGCACCGGUUGUAAAAACGCCGAAAAUAAGAUUCCAACCAAAUGAGGAUUAACUUCUCAUUCAAUCAUGGUUCAACAUUUCAAAGGACUCGAUUGUUGGAGUUGAUCAAAAAGGAGAUUGUUUUUGGAAGAGGAUUAGUGAAGCUUAUAACAAGCACCACGACAAAAAUUGUCCAGAGAGGAAUUUCAUGGCACUAAAUGGUCGAUGGCACAAAAUGAUCAAUCCUUCUGGUAAUAAGUUUGUUGGGUGCUACAAACAAGCCGUUGGUUUGAAAAAAAGUGGUAGCUCCGAGAGCGACAUUAUUUUGGCUGCACAUGAUAUUUUUCACCACGACAUGUGUAGAAAAUUCACAUUUGAGGGUGCGUGGAGAUUAAUGAAGGAUGAACCCAAAUGGAGUGCAGGUUCAUUAGAACCUUCUUCAAAAAGAACAAAUAAUUCAACUUCUGGAGCAUAUUUGCCGUCUACUAACCCACCAACACCAACAAGCGAAUACAAUCCGCCGAAGCGUCCAAUCAGUCAAAAGGCGGCUAAAAGGAAGGAAAAAGAAAAGCUUAAAGAAACGUCUACUACCAAAUUUGAUACUUUGAAAUAUGACUUCGACAAAAAGUUUGAACUAGUAUCCGUGUUUGCACAUGAUUAUGCACAUAUUGAGAGUGAAAAGGUCGAGAUAGAGAGGAAAAGGGUUGAUGCAGAGUUGCAAAGAACCGAAAAUGAUAGGGAAAGGUCGAAGAUCGAUGAUUUACAAUUUUUUUAAAGGAUACAUCAAAUAUGAAUGCAAGACAACUAAAAGAUUAUGAAUAUUUGUGUGGCAUGAUUAGAGAUAAAUAUGGACAUAAUUGAUAUUAUUAUGUAUAUUAUAAUGGAUACGUGCAUCAUAUUACACAACAUGAUUGUUGAAGAUGAGUGUGCUACAUAUGGUGGCAAUUUUGAUUAUUCUUAUGAUCAUCUUGGCAAUGACCCAAUUGCACCAUCAGAUGAUUCUAAUAUUGAUUUUCGCGAGUUCCUACGUAGAAGAUACCAUGUUCAAGAUAAGCAAAUUCAUCGACACCUUCAACAAGAUUUGAUAGAACAUAUAUGGGAACGUUCUGGGCAUGAGAAUAACCG
rnacentral:lncRNA from 1 species